GUUUAAAAAUGUGGCUCUCAAAAGAAAUUUUAGUCACUGUAUUGUUGAUAUUUGGCUCUGUUGACUAAUGAGUUUGCCGACCACUGGGCUAAGUUAUUUCGCUGAGCUGACACAGUGGCCAAGCCAGAAUUUUGGACCUACAUCUGUUUCACUUCAAAUCCUGUGUUUUUACAUUUAUUCUGACUAUAAAUUAUUAACCAGAGCACUGGAUAACUGUUGCUGAACAUAUUUCCUGUUGGAGGGCUAAAGUGGUUUGUAUUCAAUCCAGUUAAAAUGGAGAAACACAACACAGGUUCGAAUGCUGUGUUCUGGCGCUGAGCUGAGCAUCUGGGCCUCUUCUAUAGGUGUUGGGAUGCUUCACUAAUUGGCUGCUAACUAUGCAAGUGGAAUAAUAAUUAAUAGGUAAUUAUCCUCAAAUAACUUAAAUAUCAAUCUUUACAUAAGUGUUAAAAGGUUUGCUUGAGAGAGUUUUCCAAAUGUAAUUCAUACAGCAAUUUUCAGGAGCUCAUCCCAAACACAGAACUGGUGAAUGGCAAGGAUAAACACACACACACACACACACACACACACACACACACACACACACAUAAAGCAUAUAAAGUAGUCCCUAAACCAAUAUUUUGCUUUAUAUGGAAACAGAAGAUAUACACGUGUAAAGUAAUUGGAAUAUCCUGCACUGUGGAGAAGGAAGCCAGUAACUCGGGUGCCAUGCUAAUACAUUGAUUCAGAUGGUCCUGUGCAUGCCUCCAGCGGUAACAUGGCAGGUUUAGGUGCUGUCAUCCCCCUUCUUCAGAUUUGAAAGCUCAAACUCAGAACUAGCAGGGGAUUGAAAUGUGCGUCCAAUCCUGGUCUCUUUGCAAACAGGUGAGUUCCUAGCAGACAAUGAGGUGGCUAGAGAUUUUGAGACAUUCUACGCAAAUGUUGACACUUCUCUCCGCUUGAAAGCAAUGCCCUUUCUUUCUCUGCAGGGUAGCAUUUCUUACUGCUGUCAGCAGCCCUGUGGUCUUAAAGGAGAGAAAUCCACAUCUUCCUCUAAAGGAAAGGCCUAGCAAAGCUAGGCCAAGCCCUCUCCCCUGGCUGUUCAGUUUGGCUGCAGCAUCUCGCCCUCACCUGCAGUGUGUAGAGGACGUUAUGGUACGAUGCUACUUUCCAUCGGCUCUGCUGCUGCAGAUUACAGCAUGCAACUGUGACAAAUGGAUAUUCCCAUUAAAUUCUUUAGUAGAGUGGGACAUUCCAUUAACCAUUGGCACCAUCCCAACCGAGUGAAACACUGGGUCAUUUUUUUUUCCUUCUGAGAAAAAAGUAAGGGAGAAAACAAAGGAUAUUCUCUAAUUACCUUUCCUAUUUUUUUCUGUUGCAUGCAUUAUGCUAGUCGUAUAUUACAAUUAUUUAUAAUUAAUAUAUGACAAGCUGUCAGCUGAAAUUUAACAGGUGAUUUGUCAAGGCGUUCCAUUAAUUCAUACAUUAAGCAGUGGGAUUUCAAUACUUCCUAACAAUAAAAGUGUGUUUUGGUUUUGUUAUUUCAAAUGUAUUGUGUUGUAAUUUAAAUGUUUUAAAAAUACAAGGAUCCCUAACAGAAAUGGGUACUUUGUUAGUGAUGUAAGGAGUAAACACUUUUUUUUUUUUUUUGGCAUGUUAGCCAUUAAAUACUAAUGUUUACACUGAGGAAAUGAAUUUCUUCGUGUUUAUUUUUAAGUUUUAAAAUCUGUAUGAUUUUUAUACAUUUUUCAAACGAUGUCUCUAGUACUAAAGGCAAAGCCGAACGGAGAGGAAAGUAAUUGCAGUUACUUAUGUCCCAUUUAGUCUUUGUACCUUACACUAGAGAAUUUUGAAAUGAAUGAAUAUUUUAAAAUACAGAAAAAGAUUAAGAAGUCACCAGAACGCUAGUAAUUAAUCACUCAAUAGAGGGGAAAUCUACAGAGAACAAAAACUGAUGAAGCAAUCUCUAUUUCGCAGAGUGGCACAAGAAUGGGGCACAUGAUGGAAAUGAAUCAUGGACCACAGUUGACUGUGGGAAACUGAAACUGUGGAAAGCCACCUUGGAUGAGGGAGGACUCCUGCAUCUUUCAAGAAAAUGAAAGAAAAGUAAAGCAGCAUUUGCUUAGAAUUUCAUUUGCACCAAGGCUGACUCUUAUCUCUCAAGACUAGGAUAUGCUGCAGGAUGCUAAUGACUCACAAUUAACUACUGUGGAGAGUGCUGGAUCUCCUUAGUGGAAGAAUGUCCUCAAGAUUCAAGGGUUAGGAAGAAAGAGCAGGAAAGAAAAGAAGAACAGCGAAUAGCCUUCUGUGUCCACCAACCAAGUUCUGUUUUCACAUUUGUAGCAAGAAAGCCAUGCAGAGUCAUGAAAUUAUUUUUAAAGGGUCUUUCAAACAGCAUCUGAGAAAAAGAUUACCAGAAACUCAGAAGCAAAAUGCCACAAGUUUUCAUGUAACAGGGAGCCUAACCCUUCACAGGUGAGGAAUGGAAGUGGCCAGUGGCAAACGGGUCCUUGUAUUCUGGACCAGACCAGGAUCUCACGUACCAGAUCUCACCUUGCUUUCCGGAAGCAGCAAUGUCUCCACGUGUCCUGUGGGUGCUUACACACACAUUAAGAAAUAGUUUUCCAAACUGUGGACACAGCAAAGACAUUGCGAAUACUAUUCUUCAGCCACUUUUCAAACCUUUCACUGUCUUUGUCUUAUACUUCUAUACCUAUCUUAUACUUCAGGUAUAUCACUGAACAGUUUCUACUGGGUGUGCAUGCUUAGUGUAAUGUUUUCUCUCUGCUGUUUUAGAGCGGUUUUAUGUCUGAUUGCAGCCAAAAGCUCUUAACAGAGUGCUGUAAGCACUACAGGUAAGGGGAUCUUUGAGGAGGGAAGGGAAAGGAAGGAUGGAGGUAGGAAAAGAGAAAGAGGACAUAAAUUGACUGUAAAUUGCCCUUUUUAUGUGAAAUAUCACUUUCUUUACAAAGAUGUCUAUAGUCUUCUUGGUAGAAUAAAUUUACCCUGCCUCUGG